AGUUAUAAUAGUUUAAAGAAAACAAAGGUUUUGUAAACCUUAAUUGAUAUGUCUUAUAACUUC
rnacentral:tRNA from 1 species